AGAGUUUGAUCCUGGCUCAGAAUGAACGCUGGCGGCGUGCUUAACACAUGCAAGUCGCACGAGAACGCUUCUGCUUGCAGGGGCUAGUAAAGUGGCGCACGGGUGAGUAACGCGUGGGUAAUCUACCCUUGGAUUCGGGAUAACCCUCCGAAAGGGGUGCUAAUACCGGAUGAAGUCAUUGGGACUGCGGUUUUGAUGAUGAAAGGUGGCCUCUCCAUGGAAGCUACUGUUUGGGGAUGAGCCCGCGUACCAUUAGCUAGUUGGUGGGGUAACGGCCUACCAAGGCAGCGAUGGUUAGCUGGUCUGAGAGGAUGAUCAGCCACACUGGAACUGACACACGGUCCAGACUCCUACGGGAGGCAGCAGUGAGGAAUUUUGCGCAAUGGGGGGAACCCUGACGCAGCAACGCCGCGUGAGUGAAGAAGGCCUUCGGGUCGUAAAGCUCUGUCGAGUGGGAAGAACAUUCUUAUGUUGAACAUGCAUAAGGACUGACGGUACCACAGAAGGAAGCACCGGCUAACUCCGUGCCAGCAGCCGCGGUAAUA
rnacentral:rRNA from 1 species